CUUCGUUGGAUCCUGCCAGACCCCACUGCUAUCGGGAUAGGACUAAGACAUGCUAGUUGAGCGCUUCCAGCCAAUACGGGAGCGCAGCGCACAGCUCAGUAACACGUGGCUAAUCUGCCCUUGGGACCAGAACACCCCCGGGAAACUGGGGCUAAUUCUCGAUAGGUGAAGAACUCUGGAAUGAGUAUUUGCCAAAAAGACGUUUACGUUAUGCUCGUAGGCGUCGCCCAAGGAUGAGGCCGCGACCGAUCAGGUUGUUGGUGAGGUAAUGGCUCACCAAGCCUUUUACCGGUGCGGGCCGUGAGAGCGGGAGCCCGGAGAUGGGCACUGAGACAACGGCCCAGGCCCUACGGGGCGCAGCAGUCGCGAAAACUUUGCAAUACACGAAAGUGUGACAGGGCUAUCCCGAGUGCCAUCCGCUGAGGAAGGCUUUUACCCAGUCUAGAACGCUGGGGGAAUAAGGAGAGGGCAAGUCUGGUGUCAGCCGCCGCGGUAAUACCAGCUCUCCGAGUGGUGUGGAUGUUUAUUGGGCCUAAAGCAUCCGUAGCUGGCUGAGUUAGUCCUUUGUUAAAUCCACCGAAUUAAUCGUUGGAUUGCGGGGGAUACUGCUCGGCUAGGGGACGAGAGAGGCAGACGGUAUUUCUGGGGUAGGGGUGAAAUCCUAUAAUCCCAGGAGGACCACCAGUGGCGAAGGCUGUCUGCUAGAACGCGCCCGACGGUGAGGGAUGAAAGCUGGGGGAGCGAACCCGGAUUAGAUACCCGGGUAGUCCCAGCUGUAACGAUGC
rnacentral:rRNA from 1 species